AUUGAACGCUCGCGGGAUGCUUUACACAUGCAAGUCGAACGGCAGCGCGGACUUCGGUCUGGCGGCGAGUGGCGAACGGGUGAGUAAUGUAUCGGAACGUGCCCAGUAGCGGGGGAUAACUACGCGAAAGCGUAGCUAAUACCGCAUACGCCCUACGGGGGAAAGCAGGGGAUCGUAAGACCUUGCACUAUUGGAGCGGCCGUUAUCGGAUUAGCUAGUUGGUGAGGUAACGGCUCACCAAGGCGACGAUCCGUAGCUGGUUUGAGAGGACGACCAGCCACACUGGGACUGAGACACGGCCCAGACUCCUACGGGAGGCAGCAGCGGGGAAUUUUGGACAAUGGGGGCAACCCUGAUCCAGCCAUCCCGCGUGUGCGAUGAAGGCCUUCGGGUUGUAAAGCACUUUUGGCAGGAAAGAAACGUCGCGGGCUAAUACCCCGUGGAACUGACGGUACCUGCAGAAUAAGCACCGGCUAACUACGUG
rnacentral:rRNA from 1 species